GCCAGUGUGGUGCAGUGGUUUAAGUGUCAGACUAUGACUCUGUUGAUCAGGGUUUGAUUCCCUGCUUGAGCA